GGGGCUCUCGCUUCGCUCUAGAGGCCUCAGAGGCAUUUCCGACGGGGACCGCCCCGCCUGCCGAUCCAGGCACCCACUGAAGGCGAGACGGACAGGAGGCUCGAGGAAUCCAGGAGGAGGGCCGAGGUGGCAGGCGGCGCAGGCCAGGGGGAGCGCACGCAGAGAGCAGGGGUCGGCUGGAUGGGACCAGUGAUAGGGCCGUGGCGGGGCACCCAGCACCCUUGGAGAAAAGGAGAGGCGCCCACUAGGCCUUCCUUGCAGGCCAGCAGGACUCAGACCCGACCCGCCACCCCAAACGAGCGUCAGAAGGCUGUGGUAGACGCCUUCCGCCACGCAUGGGCUGGAUACCGCAAGUUUGCCUGGGGCCAUGAUGAGCUGAAGCCUGUGUCCAGGUCGUUCAGCGAGUGGUUCGGGCUGGGCCUCACGCUGAUUGAUGCCCUGGACACCAUGUGGAUUUUGGGUCUGAAGAAAGGUACUUGCUCUUUCCAA